rnacentral:rRNA from 1 species
AGCGGUGGAUUAUGUGGAUUAAUUCGAUGCAACGCGAAAAACCUUACCUGGCCUUGACAUGUACCGAAUUUACCAGAGAUGGUUUAGUGCUCGAAAGAGAACGGUAACACAGGUGCUGCAUGGCUGUCGUCAGCUCGUGUCGUGAGAUGUUGGGUUAAGUCCCGCAACGAGCGCAACCCUUGCCAAUAAUUGCCAUCAUUUAGUUGGGCACUUUAUUGGGACUGCCGGUGACAAACCGGAGGAAGGUGGGGAUGACGUCAAGUCCUCAUGGCCCUUAUGGCCAGGGCUUCACACGUAAUACAAUGGUCGGUACAGAGGGUCGCCAACCCGCGAGGGGGAGCUAAUCCCAGAAAGCCGAUCGUAGUCCGGAUUGCAGGCUGCAACUCGCCUGCAUGAAGUCGGAACCGCUAGUAAUCGCGGAUCAGCAUGUCGCGGUGAAUACGUUCCCGGGCCUUGUACACACCGCCCGUCACACCAUGGGAGUGGGUUUUACCAGAAGUAGGUAGUCUAACCGCAAGGAGGGCGCUUACCACGGUAGUAUUCAUGACUGGGGUGAAGUCGUAACAAGGUAGCCGUA